UACGUAGGAUGCAAGCGUUGUCCGGAAUUAUUGGGCGUAAAGAGCGCGCAGGCGGUUUUUCAAGUCAGAUGUGAAAUAUCCGGGCUUAACCCGGAGGGGUCAUUUGAAACUGAGAGACUAGAGUACAGCAGAGGAUAGCGGAAUUCCCGGUGUAGUGGUGAAAUGCGUAGAUAUCGGGAGGAACACCAGUGGCGAAGGCGGCUAUCUGGGCUGAAACUGACGCUGAGGCGCGAAGGCUAGGGGAG
rnacentral:rRNA from 1 species